rnacentral:miRNA from 1 species
UGUAUGUGUGCGUGUGUGUGCGUGUAUAUAUAUAUAUAUAUAUAUACACACACAUUUACACACACAGGAUGCAUAUU